CCUACGGGAGGCAGCAGUGGGGAAUAUUGGGCAAUGGGCGCAAGCCUGACCCAGCAACGCCGCAUGAAGGAAGAAGGCUUUCGGGUUGUAAACUUCUUUUCUCAGGGACGAAGCAAGUGACGGUACCUGAGGAAUAAGCCACGGCUAACUACGUGCCAGCAGCCGCGGUAAUACGUAGGUGGCAAGCGUUAUCCGGAUUUACUGGGUGUAAAGGGCGUGUAGGCGGGAAAGCAAGUGAGAUGUGAAAACCAUGGGCUCAACCUGUGGCCUGCAUUUGAAACUGUCUUUCUUGAGUACUGGAGAGGCAGGCGGAAUUCCUAGUGUAGCGGUGAAAUGCGUAGAUAUUAGGAAGAACACCAGUGGCGAAGGCGGUCUGCUGGACGGCAACUGACGCUGAGGCGCGAAAGCGUGGGGAGCGAACAGGAUUAGAUACCCGAGUAGUC
rnacentral:rRNA from 1 species